rnacentral:rRNA from 1 species
UCGCCAACUCGCGAGAGUGCGCUAAUCGCAAAAAGCCGGUCUAAGUUCGGAUUGUAGUCUGCAACUCGACUACAUGAAGUCGGAAUCGCUAGUAAUCGCGGAUCAGCUACGCCGCGGUGAAUACGUUCCCGGGCCUUGUACACACCGCCCGUCACGCCAUGGAAGCUGGGGGGACCCGAAGCCGGUGAGCUAACCGCAAGGGGGCAGCCGUCUAAGGUCAACUUAGUGACUGGGGCGAAGUCGUAACAAGGUAGCCGUAGGGGAACCUGCGGCUGGAUCACCUCCUUU